rnacentral:sRNA from 1 species
AAUGCAACUAACAUAUAUCGUCUACUAACAUAUAACAAAAGUCGAAGUUUUACUCUGGGCCAUGAAGUGUAUGAUUAGUAUGAUUACUGUCGAUAGCCAAAAAGUAGCAUUUUUUACAGACUGUUCAGACCUGGUGAAGAUGGUGUCUUCCCCAACCGAAUGGCCAACGUUUUCAUCUUAUUUGGAGGAAAUUCAAGACCGAUAAGGAAGAAUUCACAAGAUUUUCUUUAUCUUUAAUUUCUCGAACUGCAAAUGUAAAGGCAGGCACGAAAAAUUCGUAUUGAACUGCUUCAUAUCACUUAUGUAAACAAUUUUCUUCAUAAUUGUUUUUUUUGAGCUCUAAAUAAAAUCUGAUGACAAAAAAAAAUAUAUAUCGUCUAAUCAUUCUCUCUUAAUUUAGAAAAAAGAGAGAGGCAUUCAAUCCAUACUUAAUGAAAAUCUAAGACGGUUGAAAGUUUGAUGGUAUUAAGACAAUGAUAGUAUAACCAUA